AAUCAGGGGCGCUAGGGCGGGGCCCUGCCACUGUCCUCCAGGGAAGGGGAGGUUGCAUUCCCGCUCUCUUCACCCCUAGGGCUGCUCGCGCUAGUUAAGGUCUGGGUCUUUCUUGCUCCGAGAGGGACCAGUUACUUCCGCCGUAGCUGCUGUUGCUCUGUCGACUGCGUUGUGACCUGCACUGUUCACGGGACCUUUAGAGAGGACGCCAGAAUACCCGGAAGCCAGGAAAUGGAUUCGGUGGCCUUUGAGGAUGUGGCUGUGAACUUCACCCAGGAGGAGUGGGCUUUGCUGGAUCCUUCCCAGAAAAAUCUCUACAGGGAAGUGAUGCAGGAAACCUUGAGGAACCUGACCUCCAUAGGAAAAAAAUGGAACAACCAGUACAUUGAAGAUGAGCACCAAAAUCCUAAGAGAAACCUAAGACUUAUAGGGGAGAGACUCUCUGAAAGUAAAGAAAGUCAUCAGCAUGGAGAAGUUUUGACACAGGUUCCAGAUGACACACUGAAGAAGAAAACUCCUGGAGUACAAUCAUAUGAAAGCAGUGUGUGUGGAGAAAUCGGCAUAGGUCUUUCAUCCCUUAAUAGGCACCUCAGAGCCUUUAGUUAUUCCAGUAGCCUUGCAAUACAUGGAAGAACUCACACUGGGGAAAAGCCUUAUGAAUGUAAGGAAUGUGGGAAAGCAUUCAGGUUUCCCAGUUCUGUUCGUAGACAUGAAAGAAUCCACUCUGCAAAAAAACCCUAUGAAUGUAAGCAGUGUGGGAAAGCAUUAUCUUAUCUUGUAAGCUUUCAGACACACAUGAGAAUGCACACUGGAGAGAGACCUCAUAAAUGUAACAUAUGUGGGAAAGCCUUUUUUUCUCCCAGUUCGUUAAAAAGACACGAGAAAAGUCACACUGGAGAGAAACGCUAUAAAUGCAAGCAAUGUGAUAAAGCCUUCAAUUGUCCCAGUUCCUUUCAAUAUCAUGAAAGGACUCACAGUGGAGAGAAACCCUAUGAGUGUACACAAUGUAGGAAAGCCUUCAGAUCUGUCAAGUACCUGCGAGUACAUGAAAGAAAACACACUGGAGAGAAACCCUAUGAGUGUAAGCUAUGUGGUAAGGGAUUUAUUUCUUCCACUUCCUUUUGCUAUCAUGAAAAGACUCACACUGGAGAGAAACCUUAUGAAUGUAAGAAAUGUGAGAAAGCCUUCAGUUUUGUCAAGGAUCUUCAAAUACAUGAAAGGACACACACUGGAGAGAAACCCUUUGAAUGUAAACAAUGUGGGAAAACCUUCACUUCUUCCAAUUCCUUUCACUAUCAUGAAAGGACUCACACUGGAGAGAAACCCUAUGAGUGUAAGCAAUGUGGGAAAGCCUUCAGAUCUGCCUCAAUCCUUCAAAAGCACAUACGAACUCACACAGGAGAGAAACCCUAUGGAUGUAAGCAAUGUGGUAAAGUCUUUAGAGUUGCCUCACAACUUAAAAUGCAUGAAAGGACUCACACAGGAGAGAAACCCUAUGAGUGUAAGCGAUGUGGAAAAGCCUUCAUUUCUUCUAAUUCUAUUCGCUAUCAUAAAAGGACUCACACUGGAGAGAAACCCUAUAAAUGUAAACAGUGUGGGAAAGCCUUCAUUUCUUCCAACUCUUUUCUCUACCAUGAAAGGAUUCACACUGGAGAGAAACCCUAUGAGUGUAAGCAAUGUGGUAAAGCCUUUAGAUCUGUCUCAAUCCUUCAAAAGCAUGUAAGGACUCACGCUGGCUAGAAACUCUAUGGAUGUAAGCAAUAUGGUAAAGUCCUUAGAUGGGACUCAGAACUUCAAAUGCAUGGAAGGACUCACUGCAGAGACACCUGUAAUCUCAGCAUUUUGGGAAGCCAAGGCAGGAGGAUUGCUUAAGCUGAAGAGGUUGAGACCAGCUUGGGCAAUAUGGUGAGACGUUAUCUGUAUUACAUAAUAAAAUAAAAUAGGCAUGAGCCACCGCGCCUGGCCACACCCAUCUAAUUUCUUAAUUUUUUGUAGAGACCUGGUCUCCUUGUGUUGUCCACGGUACUCUAGAACUCCUGGGUUCAAACAGUCCUUCUGCCUUGGCCUCCCAACGUGCUGAAAUCACAGGCAUGAGCCACCAUGACUGGCUAUCUAGUUUUCAUGGGAAAACAAAUAUUUCUGAAAUUUUAACUUUUUUGGCUAUUGUGUUAGGCUGUUAUUUUCUUGUUUAAUAAAUUGCAUAUUUAUUCCUGGGACU